rnacentral:miRNA from 1 species
AUAAGGUAGAAAGCACUAAA